CUUAAUUUGUGGUUACAAAAAAAAAACACGGUUAUGAAGCUCCGCCAAUGUCUCAAUCUUCUGCCUCGAGCCGUCUGGACUUUUAAUAUAAAUGUAGCCGUCACGGGUCCAGCAUGAAGAAACGCCAAAAUGGUCUCUGGCCGCCAUAAAUGUGAUGUGUCGCGGCUUUGUAAGGAACUCAGAGAUGGUGAUUUUUGUUCCUUUGAGACCCUUCUUAGCGUUCCACACCCUGUCACGCAUUACAGCAUCGUUGAAUUUUAUUAAUAUUGGUCUCGGCUUAGGGUUAUCCGUGUUUUUAGGCUUUCCCAUUCGAUGACAGGUACGGACACUACUCAGCGUUAGGUCUGCAAGUUUGCACUUAGUAGACAAAGAUGCCACAAUAGUACCCGUGGUGUCUUCAUUCUUGCCCUCAGGAACCCCAUGCACAAGAAGCAUUUUGCGACGUGAUCUGGUCUCUAUACGGUCAAGGCCUCUUGCAAGUGCAUCCAUCUCAGCGCGCAGGAUGUUAAGUGCACCACAAACAAAUGAUUUAAAAGCUUGGAACUCUGUAUUAAGUGCAGCUAUAGUGUUUGGUGGCUUACGUGAGGUGGCCUGCUGUAGAUCAGCUUGAAAUUCAGCCAUCUUAGUGUGAAACAUUUGGAUCAUAUCUUCCAUAUUUGAUUGCACUUGUGUGUAGUCCAUGUUGAAUGUUGUGUUUUCAAUAAAUAAGAUUUAUAGACACAAGAAAACACUGCAGGCAAGUAGCACUAUUUACUCAUGUAAGAGAAACAUGAAAGUUAUAAUAAAUUAAAUACUGUAAA